UACGAAGGGGGCUAGCGUUGUUCGGAAUUACUGGGCGUAAAGCGCGCGCAGGUGGUCUUUCAAGUCAGUGGUGAAAGCCCGGAGCUCAACUCCGGAAAUGCCAUUGAAACUGUAAGACUUGAGGAUGAGAGAGGUGAGUGGAAUUCCCAGUGUAGAGGUGAAAUGCGUAGAUAUUGGGAGGAACACCAGUGGCGAAGGCGGCUCACUGGACCGGUACUGACGCUGAUGCGCGAAAGCGUGGGGAGCAAACGGG
rnacentral:rRNA from 1 species